rnacentral:rRNA from 1 species
CGAGCUGCUCGUCGGUUCACUCCAACCCAUGUGAACGUUACCAAACUGUUGCCUCGGCGGGAUCUCUGCCCCGGGUGCGUCGCAGCCCCGGACCAAGGCGCCCGCCGGAGGACCAACCAAAACUCUUUUUGUAUACCCCCUCGCGGGUUUUUUAUAAUCUGAGCCUUCUCGGCGCCUCUCGUAGGCGUUUCGAAAAUGAAUCAAAACUUUCAACAACGGAUCUCUUGGUUCUGGCAUCGAUGAAGAACGCAGCGAAAUGCGAUAAGUAAUGUGAAUUGCAGAAUUCAGUGAAUCAUCGAAUCUUUGAACGCACAUUGCGCCCGCCAGUAUUCUGGCGGGCAUGCCUGUCCGAGCGUCAUUUCAACCCUCGAACCCCUCCGGGGGGUCGGCGUUGGGGAUCGGCCCUGCCUCUUGGCGGUGGCCGUCUCCGAAAUACAUUGGCGCCCUCCCCCGCAGCCUCUCCUGCGCAGUAGUUUGCACACUCGCAUCGGGAGCGCGGCGCGUCCACAGCCGUUAAACACCCAACUUCUGAAAUGUUGACCUCGGAUCAGGUAGGAAUACCCGCUGAACUUAAGCAUAUCAAUAAGCGGAGGAACAU